GCAAGUCGAGCGGACAGAAGGGAGCUUGCUCCCGGAUGUUAGCGGCGGACGGGUGAGUAACACGUGGGUAACCUGCCUGUAAGACUGGGAUAACUCCGGGAAACCGGAGCUAAUACCGGAUAGUUCCUUGAACCGCAUGGUUCAAGGAUGAAAGACGGUUUCGGCUGUCACUUACAGAUGGACCCGCGGCGCAUUAGCUAGUUGGUGAGGUAACGGCUCACCAAGGCGACGAUGCGUAGCCGACCUGAGAGGGUGAUCGGCCACACUGGGACUGAGACACGGCCCAGACUCCUACGGGAGGCAGCAGUAGGGAAUCUUCCGCAAUGGACGAAAGUCUGACGGAGCAACGCCGCGUGAGUGAUGAAGGUUUUCGGAUCGUAAAGCUCUGUUGUUAGGGAAGAACAAGUGCAAGAGUAACUGCUUGCACCUUGACGGUACCUAACCAGAAAGCCACGGCUAACUACGUGCCAGCAGCCGCGGUAAUACGUAGGUGGCAAGCGUUGUCCGGAAUUAUUGGGCGUAAAGGGCUCGCAGGCGGUUUCUUAAGUCUGAUGUGAAAGCCCCCGGCUCAACCGGGGAGGGUCAUUGGAAACUGGGAAACUUGAGUGCAGAAGAGGAGAGUGGAAUUCCACGUGUAGCGGUGAAAUGCGUAGAGAUGUGGAGGAACACCAGUGGCGAAGGCGACUCUCUGGUCUGUAACUGACGCUGAGGAGCGAAAGCGUGGGGAGCGAACAGGAUUAGAUACCCUGGUAGUCCACGCCGUAAACGAUGAGUGCUAAGUGUUAGGGGGUUUCCGCCCCUUAGUGCUGCAGCUAACGCAUUAAGCACUCCGCCUGGGGAGUACGGUCGCAAGACUGAAACUCAAAGGAAUUGACGGGUGCCCGCACAGUCGGUGGAGCAUGUGGUUUAAUUCGA
rnacentral:rRNA from 1 species